rnacentral:misc_RNA from 1 species
UAAUAAGUGUUUUAUGGCACUUUUUAAAUCCAUACCCACCUUGUGUGCAAUGUCGGUCGAUCUUCUUUUUUUUGAGGAUCGACCAAACAUCAACCUUUAUUUUUUAACUCUUUGUCUGAAAAAUAUUAUGAAUAAACAAUUCAAAAUA